ACACCACUGCAUUUAUAGCACAUGGAGACUGAAUUGGGCUCUAGGUCUGAGGAUAUUUACACAUGUUUAGUGUUACUCACAUGAAUAAAGGCAAAUGUGUGUUUGCCUUAUCAGGGCCUAAGUGUUAUAUUAUAAUUAUACUAAAAAUAUUGUUAGAGUAGAUUGGCUUGUGAAUUAAUGAGGAAAAUUUAGUCUUUUGCAGUUAGAUUCCCUUAAUUUUAGGAGCACAAACUUGGUGCUAGAAUUGUGUCCCUAUUUAUUUCUAUGAAAAGUUACAUAUAUAGGUUCUUAAAGGCUUUUAGAUUAAGUUUAUGACUGUGUCUCUGCCUCAGAAAUAUAGGGCUGAUUCUGUAAUAUUUGAGAUUAAUUUGGGGUUUACAUUCAUGCAAGAUAGACAAUUCUAGACCCACGUGAGGAAAAAAGGCUUUUCUACUUUAGUAAGCCUCAAAACUUAUGCUCAUUUAAAAAAAAAAGUGUAGAUGGUUGCCCAGGGGGGAGGCUAGGGUUCCAGCUAUGCAGUCUAGGAGAGAUGCACUAACCCAUGUGUGCAGCAUUUCACCACAAUGGAACUGGUAGUAAGAGUAUAACACAUGUGCAUAGGAUUUGUCUGGUUUGAUUUUUUUCUUCUUCUGUUGAACUUGAGAGAGAGAAAUUUUGGAAAAGAAGGAUUAACAAAUGUCCAAAACAGAACAGACAGUAAGAGAGGGAGGGAGGGAGGGAGAGAGAGAGAGAGAGAGAGAAAGAAAGAAAGAAAGCCUCCUUUCCCUGCACAAAACCAAUAUAAAUUACUCAAAAGCCCAAGGAGGCAGCACUACUGGGACAACCUGCCAAGUCUACAACAGUGAUAUGCAUGUAAAUAUAACAAGUUCAUUACAUUCCUGGCUUCAGCUCCCGUGCAGAAGUAUCUACUUUAAAGCAGUUUCUCCUAGUGUAAUCAUGAAAUAAAAAUAGCAGCAGUUGUGUGUACCCAGCAUGCACAUGUCAUGCCAUGUCAAUUCUACUCUCAUUCACACCCACUUUUACUGCCAUGCAGGCAGAUAGGUACAUUGUAAAAUGUCCUACAUGCAGACCUGUUUAACUUGUGCACCAAAAGUGAUGUGCAAUAUGUCCUCCAAUAUUUAACCAUGACCUGAUAAUGUUUUUAAACACAGCUAUCCUGGUUCACAGUAAGGGGAAAAGGCAUGUUGAAUAUUGUGUUAAUGUGUUUUCUAACCCAAUUCAUUUUCCCCACUAUGGACAAGUCCCCAUUCCAAUUCCCAGUUCCAUUUCUGGGGCAGUACAGCUACAGAUUGUCCCUUAUACAGAGUACUGCUUAAAGGCACAAAUCUAGCCCUAUAUUAUUAAAGCAUCUCUCUUCUUCUCCCUCCUCUUUCUCUCUCCUUAUUCCCUGUCUCUUUCAUAGCUCCCAAGUG
rnacentral:lncRNA from 1 species